rnacentral:rRNA from 1 species
GUUAAGCGACUAAGCGUACACGGUGGAUGCCCUGGCAGUCAGAGGCGAUGAAGGACGUGCUAAUCUGCGAAAAGCGCCGGCGAGGUGAUAUGAACCUUUGACCCGGCGAUGUCCGAAUGGGGAAACCCAGUGUGAUUCGUCACACUAUCGUUAACUGAAUACAUAGGUUAACGAGGCGAACCGGGGGAACUGAAACAUCUAAGUACCCCGAGGAAAAGAAAUCAACCGAGAUUCCCCCAGUAGCGGCGAGCGAACGGGGAGCAGCCCAGAGUCUGAAUCAGCUUGUGUGUUAGUGGAAGCGUCUGGAAAGUCGCACGGUACAGGGUGACAGUC